UGCCUGGGUAGCUCAGCCGGUAGAGCACUUGCCUUGUAAAGGCAAAGGUUUUGGGUUCGAUUCCCGACCCAGCAU